rnacentral:rRNA from 1 species
UACGUAGGGACCGAGCGUUGUCCGGAUUCAUUGGGCGUAAAGAGCUCGUAGGCGGCCACUCAAGUCGAAUGUGAAACCUCGAGGCUUAACCUCGAGCCUGCAUUCGAUACUGGGCGGCUAGAGUCUGGUAGGGGGAUCUGGAAUUCCUGGUGUAGCGGUGAAAUGCGCAGAUAUCAGGAAGAACACCUAUGGCGAAGGCAGCUCUCUGGGACGGUACUGACGCUGAGACGCGAAAGCGUGGGGAGCGAACAGG